CCUACGGGAGGCAGCAGUGGGGAAUAUUGGGCAAUGGAGGCAACUCUGACCCAGCAACGCCGCGUGAGCGAUGAAGGUCUUCGGAUUGUAAAGCUCUUUAGGACGUGACGAAGAAGGUGACAGUGCCUACAGAAGAAGCGUCCAACUUCGUGCCAGCAGCCGCGGCAAUAAGAAGGGGGAGGGCGUCGUUCGGAAUUAUGGGGCGUAAAGGGUGUGUAGGAGGUUCUGUAGGAUGGUAGUGAAGUUCCGGGGCUCAACACCGGAACUGCCAUUAUGAAAAUCGACCUAGAGUAGUGGAGAGGAUAGCGGAAUACCCAGUGUAGAGGUGAAAUGCGUAGAUAUUGGGUAGAACACCGGUGGCGAAGGCGGCUAUCUGGCCAUUUACUGACGCUGAGGCACGAAAGCGUGGGGAUCAAACAGGAUUAGAUACCCUAGUAGUC
rnacentral:rRNA from 1 species